UGCGCCGGUAGUAUAAUGGUUAGUAUACUAGCCCUCCAAGCUAGCUAUCCGGGUUCAACUCCCGGCCGACGCAU
rnacentral:tRNA from 1 species